rnacentral:lncRNA from 1 species
UCUCCUUUAAGUUAACAACUGAUUAUUUUUUAAAGAAAAUUUUAAUUAAUGAAAGUUAAAACUUAAUCCAAAAAAAGAAAACAUAUAUAUAUAUAGAACACGAUAGAUAUGAUUGAUAAGAUUUAAAAUUUUUUACUGUUAGCCGAUUAGAUUAUUCAGAUAAGUCAUAAGCAAUCUAUUAUGUAUCUGCAGGGAAAAAGUCAGCUCGUCACUAGACGAAUCGUCAUUAAAAAUGAAAAAUCUAAACUAACUGUGGAAGAAUAAACAAAAAUAUGUAUCGGAAAUGGGCAAAAAGGAAGGCUAUCAAUUAGUGCUUUUCUAUCAUCAGAUUUGUUAGCCGUGGAAAUAAUUUCGUUGGUCUAUCGAUCUGGAGAAUUUUUUUUCUUAAAAACGCCAGUAUUUAUUGCAUUUAAUUUAAUAAAUUGCAUAAAAAUAGAACAGUGACCGUAUCCGUUUUUACAAAGGAACGUCAUCGAGCUAUUAUCGGAGUGAUUGAUGCGAGAGACAAUCAGAUACGUGUAUUGGAAAUGUUUUUACAUUUCGAUCCGGGCUAGAAGAAUAACGGGGGAAAAAAGGCGAGCGCUUUUCACAGCAUCGAUGUUGGUGGGAUUUCGUGUGUUUCCCAAACUGUUUAUAUUGACACGUCGUUCACCAGCAGCUGCUGUUCUAGAUAUAAGCGGUCGAUCUAAAGAUGUGGAAGAAUCAACCGAACACACCUCACGAUUACAGCUCUCAACACAUUUCCGUUGAUGGUUGGACAGUGUGUAACGGAAUGACAGAAGUUUUGGGCAAAAAUUGCCAUGGCCAGUCCACUGCCUGAUCUCGCUAUAAUAAAAAUCGAUAAAUUUCUAGAUAUUUCACCAAAAGCAAUUCUCGAAACAAUUCCUCCAGGCUCGUUUUUACAGAAGAGAUAUAAAAUUUCACUUUUUUCAACCAUUUGGGA